rnacentral:rRNA from 1 species
UGAGGAAUAUUGGUCAAUGGACGAAAGUCUGAACCAGCCAUGCCGCGUGAAGGAAUAAGGCCCUAUGGGUCGUAAACUUCUUUUGUAUGUGAGCAAUAAGGUCCACGAGUGGUCCGAUGAGAGUAGCAUACGAAUAAGCAUCGGCUAACUCCGUGCCAGCAGCCGCGGUAAUACGGAGGAUGCGAGCGUUAUCCGGAUUUAUUGGGUUUAAAGGGUGCGCAGGCGGACUCGUCAAGUCAGCGGUAAAAAUUCGGGGCUCAACCCCGUCCUGCCGUUGAAACUGCGAGACUGGAGUGCGACAGAGGAAGGCGGAAUGCGAGGUGUAGCGGUGAAAUGCAUAGAUAUCGCGCAGAACUCCGAUUGCGAAGGCAGCCUUCCAUGUCGUAACUGACGCUGAGGCACGAAAGCGUGGGGAUCGAACAGGGAUUAGAUACCCUGGUAGU